CUACGGGUUGCACCAGUCGGGAAACUUCUGCAAUGCACGCAAGUGUGACAGAGCAAGCCAAAGUGCUUUUCCGUAUUAGGAAAAGCUUUUAUGAGAUCUAAAAAUUCUUAUGAAUAAGGACUGGGCAAGACUGGUGCCAGCCGCCGCGGUAAUACCAGCGGUCCAAGUUGCAGCCACGUUUAUUGGGUCUAAAACAUCCGUAGCUUGCUUAGUAAGUCUUUUGUGAAAUCUGGCAUCUCAAGUGUCAGGCCCGCAUAAGAUACUGCUUAGCUAGAGAUCGGGAGACGUAAAGAGUACAGUUAGGGUAGCGGUCAAAUGCGUUGAUCCUUACUGGACUAACAAUAGCGAAGGCACUUUACGAGAACGAAUCUGACUGUGAGGGAUGAAGGCUAGGGUCGCAAAACGGAUUAGAUACCCGCGUAGUC
rnacentral:rRNA from 1 species